rnacentral:misc_RNA from 1 species
AACGCACAUUGCGCCCCUUGGUAUUCCGAGGGGCAUGCCUGUUCGAGCGUCAUUACAACCCUCAAGCACUGCUUGGUAUUGGGCCCCGCUGGUUUCAGCGGGCCUUAAAAUCAGUGGCAGCGCCGUCUGAGCUCUGAGCGUAGUAAAUAUCCUCGCUAUAGAGACCAGGCGGUUCUUGUCAUCAACCCCCAACUUUCUAAGUUUGACCUCGGAUCAGGUAGGGAUACCCGCUGAACUUAA